GACGAACGCUGGCGGCGUGCUUAACACAUGCAAGUCGAACGGAAAGGCCCUGCUUUUGUGGGGUGCUCGAGUGGCGAACGGGUGAGUAACACGUGAGUAACCUGCCCUUGACUUUGGGAUAACUUCAGGAAACUGGGGCUGAUACCGGAUAGGAGCUCCUGCUGCAUGGUGGGGGUUGGAAAGUUUCGGCGGGUGGGGAUGGACUUGCGGCUUAUCAGCUUGUUGGUGGGGUAGUGGCUUACCAAGGCUUUGACGGGUAGCCGGCCUGAGAGGGUGACCGGCCACAUUGGGACUGAGAUACGGCCCAGACUCCUACGGGAGGCAGCAGUGGGGAAUAUUGCACAAUGGGCGGAAGCCUGAUGCAGCAACGCCGCGUGCGGGAUGACGGCCUUCGGGUUGUAAACCGCUUUCGCCUGUGACGAAGCGUGAGUGACGGUAAUGGGUAAAGAAGCACCGGCUAACUACGUGCCAGCCGCCGCCGUAAGAC
rnacentral:rRNA from 1 species